GAAUAAGUUAAAAGAUCAGAAUGAGAAGCUCUAGGCUUCGCUUGUAGCUCAGUUGGUAAAGAGUCUGACUGCUAUGCAGGAGACCUGGGUUUGAUCCCUGGGUCAGGAAGAUUCCCUGGAGAAGGAAAUGGCAACUCGCUCCAGUAUUCUUGCCUGAAGAAUCCCAUGGACAAAGGAGCCUGGCAGGCUACAGUCUAUGAGGUCACAAGAGUGACACAACUGAGCGACUAAGCACACAGCAUACAGCACGCACCCAGUCAGCAGGAGGUAGGAUGAGGAAGUAGAAGAAAGAAAAGCUGAGAGUCACAGCAGCUAGAAAUAGAAGAGACAUUAUGUAAAUACCAGAAAGCUCAGGGGAGAAAAAUGGAAUGAAAUAGUUAAAGAAAUAAGAAAAAUGUAACAGGAUUUUUGGAAAUUUCAAGACCUUAGAAUGACAAGGGCUGGUAGAGCACCAAACAAGAAGAAUAAGGAAAGCCUCCCACAGGGCCUAGCAAAGAGAAGUGGUGGACUUUACUAUCUUCCAGAAAGAAAGAGCAGCUCAUCUACAAGGAAAGAAGAAUAAGAUUGGCAUCAGAUUUCUCCACAGCAACAGUGGAUGGAAGAAAAAUUAGUGUGUUUAAGAACGGAAAAUAUUUCUGUUCAAUUUCAGUUUCCAAUCAACCACUGGAGUAAUCUAUCUAAACUGCACUUCCCACCAGUGUGUGCUAAGGCUGUCAGAUAAGCAACAGCAAACUGAACUAUCAGUUCUAGGGCAUCAUUAUGGCUAUUUCCUGUGUGCCUGUAAAGAUAAAUUGGAAAGAGCUGGACCAAGAUAGUGAGAGUCUUUACUGAGAAGUGGAUCUGCUACUUGUGAAAGGAGAGGAGGAACAGAAGGAGUAUGGAGGCCGAAAUUGAAUUGCUGCUGACUGUUGUCCCUUGUUAUGGCCUGUGGAGAUAUGACAAUUGAGGAAGAACUUAGAGAAAUGCCAAGUAGUAGAGCAUGAAGGAGUGGGUGUGACCCACUGCCUUGGAUAUUUUAUGGCUGAUAGCAUUUGGCAAGAAAAAAUCUGCAGCCUCUAUAGUAGUCUUGCAAAUAGAUUUCAACAUCAACCAUGCGCCCACCCUCAUCCCUGUUUGAUUUGCCCUGUAAAGUAUAUAUUUGCCAAAAUCUGCCCUUCUAAUUUUCAGUUACCUCACUGGACCCCUUGUAAACACCUAAAUAUUGAAAUAAAUAACAC
ensembl:lncRNA